rnacentral:rRNA from 1 species
GCAUGGCUGUCGUCAGCUCGUGUCGUGAGAUGUUGGGUUAAGUCCCGUAACGAGCGCAACCCUCGUCCUGUGUUGUAUUCUCACAGGAGACUGCCCCGCAAAACGGGGAGGAAGGUGGGGAUGACGUCAAGUCAGCAUGGCCCUUAAGCCCUGGGCAACACACACGCUACAAUGGGCGGUACAGAGGGAAGCUAAGGAGCAAUCCGGAGCAAAUCCCACAAACCCGUCCUCAGUUCGGAUUGGAGGCUGCAACUCGCCUCCAUGAAGUCGGAGUUGCUAGUAACCGCAGGUCAGCACACUGCGGUGAAUGCGUUCUCGGGCCUUGUACACACCGCCCGUCACGCCAUGGAAGCUGGCAACACCUGAAGUCGAUGUGCCAACCCGCUCUGCGGGAGGCAGUCGUCGAGGGUGGGGCUAGUGACUGGGGCGAAGUCGUAACAAGGUAACC